rnacentral:rRNA from 1 species
AUGCAACGAAGCGCGGGAACCCGGCGAGCGCGCCCCGCCCCACGAUCAGAGAAGCAAGAUCGCGGCCUGGGCAGCAGAACCCUAGGCCGCCUCGAACGAGACACCUCUGUCGUCCCGUCGAUCGUGCAUGGGGGUGUAGCAAUCCUCCCCCGAAAACUAUCCAAGUUAACCUGGGCCUCAUACCCGGUUAUCUCAGGCCCACCCAAGACAAAGCCCGGCUCACUCAGAACCGGCCCGUCAGGAAGGCCCUCGAGCGCACAGCCCAGGAGAGCGUUCAAACGCGUCGCCCGCUGCUGCGAGAUCGAGAUCGGCCGUCUCGCCGGCGAUCUCGCCAUGGCCGCUGCCGGCACACCGCCAGAACGGACAGGCCUCUUCUUCCUCUUAACUUGA